UUUUCCUCAGCAAGUUUGUGGAUCACGUAGAGCGCAUGCCACCAGUUAUUUGGACACAUAACUCUACAACAAUAUCUUCAAAGGUCUAUGGCAUUUGCUGUAGCGUGGAUGCCCCCGCACGUGCGGCAGUACAAAACCAGGUCAUGUUCAGUGGAUUCUUCAGCUGCCCUUGGUGCAUGGUGCGUGGAGCAGUGAGAUUUCCGAGUGGAGAACCGGGUGAGGAGAGGACACAAGACAGGGUCAUCCGAGACAUGGAGCUCGCAGUGGAGUGUGAGACGUAGGUCAACGGCUCCAAGGGGCCCUCUCCACUAAUUAACUUAACAAAUUACGAUGUUGUCUGGGGUCAAGCUUCUGAAUAUAUGCAUUCAGUGCUGCUGGGUGUCGCCAAGCAAGUUACUGAUCAUGUUCUUGAUACUUCAAACUCUAAGGAACGCUUCUACAUAGCCCAAGUACAACAGAGAUUCUGAACAGGCGCCUGAAGGCACUUAAGCCUCCACAUUGUAAAACCAGGUUACCUCGUGCCAUCUCUGAACGGUGCCACUGGAAAGCCAGUGAGUGGAGGAACUGGCUUCUCUACUACAGUCUUCCUUGUCUAGAGGGCCUGCCACCUCAACCUAACUGGAACCACUGGUGCCUACUUGUACGGGCUAUAUGGAUGCUGAACACGACGACAGUCUCACAAAGAGCACUCACUCAUUCAGAGUCCCUCCUGAAGCAGUUUGUUGAACGAACUCUAAAGCUGUACGGCUCAAAGAUGAUGACUUUCAAUAUGCAUCAACUCCUGCACCUUUCAAACUCUGUGGGCAAGCUUGGACCAUUGUGGGCACACUCGGCUUUUGUGUUCGAGUCCGGAAAUGGACGGCUUGUAAGUUGCAUUAAUUCUGCCAAGGGUUCUCCCCAACAAGUGCUGGAGCGUGUGGCAGUGUCGCAGGAAGUUGAGCUGCUGCCUUGUGACCUACAUCUUCCAGAAGCAGCAGAAGCUGUGUGUCAGCAGAUGCUGGGUUAUCCGCACAUUCAAAAGGCAAACGCUAUUCAGGGUGCUAGCCUCCUUGGUCGUGGGAGACGUGUUCAGAGUUUUUCGGUUGAAGAGGAGGGAGCUCUUGAAAGUGCAGGCUACCCUGCUCCUGUGCACGCUUCAGAGUAUGUGCGAUUCAUUUAUAAUCGUAAGGUGUACACAAGUGAAAAGUACCGCCGUGCAAAAAGGACCAGUAGCACAGUGAUUCAAAGGCAUCAAGGUGACUUCUACAUCAUCUGUCGUGCACUUGAGGUGACCUCAGAUGCCUCAAAAGCAUGUAUCCUCCUUUGCAAGGAGGUGAUUCCCACAGAAGAGGAAACUCAUUACCCCAAUCACAUCGUGGAGUGCUUCAUUUCAUCUAGUGGUGUGUUAACAGAGUUCCCCAUCACAGAAGUGCACUCAGUUUGUAUGCUCCUUGGUUUCAAAAAUGAAAACAGGAUAUAUGUGUGUACUCUGGCAAAUGACAUUACCGUGACUGAGGGUGUGUAGUGAAAAUAUCAUAAUUGACUGUGAAGCAAUGAACCACGAGUGAUUUAAUUACUGCAGUCACCAAAGGACAACUCGUAACAGUAACCCCUGCUUCUGAACAGAAGUGUAAUUAAGAUAAAUAUUUAAAGAGAACCGCGAUCAAGAGUCCCUUAAAUUGAAUUUAAUACUGAAGUGUGCUUCACAAAGGCAGUUAUUAUUACUGAAAGAUUUAUCACGUCACCAAGUAGCGUUUGCGAAAAAGAAUGGAGCGUAAACUUCAAGUUUUAGCAAUGCUUGAUCUCGGUUCUAAGUUAACCAGCAUUUCUGAAACCGGGCAAUAUAUAAGAAAUAUAUUUUACUAAAGAAGCUUCUCCUUUACUAAAAUAAAUUAUUUAAAUGUUUCAAUGUUAAAUUUAUUCAC